rnacentral:rRNA from 1 species
GUCUUUUUGAUUAUAAUUUAAAGUCUGACCUGCUCAAUGAAAUUUAAAUAGCCGCAGUAUCUUGACUGUGCGAAGGUAGCGUGAUAAUUAGUUUCUUAAUUAGGGACUUGAAUGAAUGGUUUGACGAAAAAAUUACUGUCUCUUUUUAAAUUUUAAUGAAUUUAACUUUUAAGUUAAAAGGCUUAAUUGAUUAUAAAAGACGAGAAGACCCCAUAGAGUUUAAUUUUUUAAAAAGUUUAGUAUUUUAUUUUAUUAAAAAAUUUAAUUGGGGUAAUUUAAAGAUUAAAUAAAUUCUUUAAAUAAAAAUCAUUGAUUUAUGAAUUUAAAAUCUAUUAGAAUAAUAAUAAUUUAAGUUACCUUGGGGAUAACAGCGUAAUUUCUUUUUAAAGUUCUUAUUAAAGAAGAAGAUUGCGACCUCGAUGUUGGAUUAAAAUUUAACUAUGGUGUAAAAGUUAUAGGUGUUAAGUCUGUUCGACUUUUAAAAUUUUACAU